GAGAGAUUGACAUCCAUCACACACACAUGCAAAGCACCCCUUGCACACAGAAAAACACACAAUGCAUUACACACACAGACACACACACAAACAAUGCAACCCUUGCACACAAUGCAUCCCUUACACACACAGAAACACACAAUGCAUUCCUUACACACACUCAAUGCACCCCUUACACACACUCAAUGCACCCCUUACACACGCACACACUGCAU